rnacentral:rRNA from 1 species
GAGGGAAAGGCGAAAAGAACCCCGGCGAGGGGAGUGAAAAAGAACCUGAAACCGUGUACGUACAAGCAGUGGGAGCCCCACCACUAAGCCAGUGGUGAACUCCACAUACGCAUCCUUUGCUGAGGAUACGGUUAACGGAGCGAAAGCGACGUUCAACCGCAAAAGAAGCAGAGGGGGCUUAGUGGUGGGGUGACUGCGUACCUUUUGUAUAAUGGGUCAGCGACUUAUAUUCUGUAGCAAGGUUAACCGUAUAGGGGAGCCGGAGGGAAACCGAGUCUUAACCGGGCGUUAAGUUGCAGGGUAUAGACCCGAAACCCGGUGAUCUAGCCAUGGGCAGGUUGAAGGUUGGGUAACACUAACUGGAGGACCGAACCGAC